AGUGAACGCUGGCGGUAGGCCUAACACAUGCAAGUCGAACGGCAGCACAGUAAGAGCUUGCUCUUACGGGUGGCGAGUGGCGGACGGGUGAGGAAUACAUCGGAAUCUACUUUUUCGUGGGGGAUAACGUAGGGAAACUUACGCUAAUACCGCAUACGACCUACGGGUGAAAGCAGGGGAUCUUCGGACCUUGCGCGAUUGAAUGAGCCGAUGUCGGAUUAGCUAGUUGGCGGGGUAAAGGCCCACCAAGGCGACGAUCCGUAGCUGGUCUGAGAGGAUGAUCAGCCACACUGGAACUGAGACACGGUCCAGACACCUACGGGAGGCAGCAGUGGGGAAUAUUGGACAGUGGGCGCAAGCCUGAUCCAGCUAUACCGCGUGGGUGAAGAAGGCCUUCGGGUUGUAAAGCCCUUUUGUUGGGAAAGAAAAGCAGCAGGUUAAUACCCCGCUGUUCUGACGGUACCCAAAGAAUAAGCACCGGCUAACUUCGU
rnacentral:rRNA from 1 species